AAGCCAAGGAACCUUUAAAGUCCUGGUGAUUGAUCAGCCCUGCUUUGGUCUCCUGCUCUGGGGGCCAGUGGGCCGGGCGCGGAGACUCCAGCUCCCAGCUGGGGCCGCCUCGGAUUCCCCAUUCAUCUCUCCGCCCCUAGCCCCCCAGCCAUGAGACCACCACGCAUGUGCGAGUAACAACUCCAAAGGCCCAGUGGAUGCUGAGCUAGUAGCUAAGUGCGUCAUCCCCGGUCCUUUCAUCCAAGCCACCCAGGUGACACACAGGAUCGAAGAGGACACCAGAGGCAGCCACGAGAGACCGGACUGCAAACGUGAACCUGGGUCCUGCCCGAGUUACUUCCCUCGUUCCUGGGACAAAAUAACUGACACCCACAACUUAAGGAGGAGAGGGAUCAAACUCAGGACCUUGCGCUUGCGAGGCAGGCGGUGGCGCCACUGAACUAAAUCUCCAGCAACAUUAAUUUUUAAUAAUGGUGAAGUUCAACACCUGGCAGGCGAGUUCCUGAACACUCAGUGCCUGGGGCCUGAAUGCCAGGCUGGCCCAACUCCAGCGCACGCAGCCCUGGCCCUUCUUCCCCGUUUCCGCAUCUGGCUGGGAAGGUCGGAAAGGGCAUCUGCGAAGACUUACUCCAGACCGGGCUCCAAAGGCCACCGCUGUGAUCUGGGGGCCGCUUAGGGGCUGCAGUUGUGGGGUCUCUGAGGAGGGAACCGGGUUACAUCCACACCCCGCUCACAUGCGUGCAGCCCUUGGGAGAGGACACUGAGGACCGGAAGUGGGGGGAGUCCCACCUGCCAGCCUGUGGACUCCGGGAACGCAUCUCCGCUCACUUUUUGUCUUGUUCUCUUCUCGUUCUCUCCCUCUCUCUCUCCCUCUCUCUCUCUCUCACUGUAUCUUUUAGAAAGUGGUACUCAAGAAUGCACACUAUUUUAUAUUUUAUUCAAAUUAAACAUUUUUGGGACUAAAAUAACAUAUUAAUGGUUCCACACAGAGAUAAGCCUAUUUUGGGAAUCCAAUAAACAUUUACUUGAUCUUAGGUAGUAUUAUUUAAGAACAUGCCCAUAGAUGGUAUUGAAUCAAUGUAUGAAUGAGUGAAGAAAAGAAAAAAAGGAAACGCUUCCCCACUGACCCACGCGCUGUAAAUAUCCUGGUUUAUGCUCUUACAGGCAUGAAUUGUCAUCUUUUCUGUCCCACUACCCUAAUUGUGAAAUUAAAAUCUCACGAGCUAACCUGGAUAUGCUAUCUCAUGCUCUGAUUUUAAAUUAACUGUAAACAGAAAAUUCAGCCCGUGAGGGCCUGUGAGAGAGCAGG